GAUGAAGAACGUAGUGAAAUGCGAUAAGUAGUGUGAAUUGCAGAAUUCCGUGAAUCAUCGAGUCUUUGAACGCACAUUGCGCCCCCUGGUAUUCCGGGGGGCAUGCCUGUCCGAGCGUCAUUGCUGCCCUCAAGCACGGCUUGUGUGUUGGGCCUCCGUCCUCCUCCCGGGGGACGGGCCCGAAAGGCAGCGGCGGCACCGCGUCCGGUCCUCGAGCGUAUGGGGCUUCGUCACCCGCUCUUGUAGGCCCGGCCGGCGCUUGCCGACACAUCAAUCUUUUUUCCAGGUUGACCUCGGAUCAGGUAGGGAUACCCGCUGAACUUAAGCAUAUCAAUAAGCGGAGGA
rnacentral:misc_RNA from 1 species